rnacentral:rRNA from 1 species
UACGUAGAGUGCGAGCGUUGUCCGGAAUUAUUGGGCGUAAAGAGCUCGUAGGCGGUGUGUCGCGUCGGUCGUGAAAACUUGGGGCUUAACCCUGAGCUUGCGGUCGAUACGGGCAUCACUGGAGUUCGGCAGGGGAGACUGGAAUUCCUGGUGUAGCGGUGAAAUGCGCAGAUAUCAGGAGGAACACCGGUGGCGAAGGCGGGUCUCUGGGCCGAUACUGACGGCUGAGGAGCGAAAGCCAGGGGAGCAAACGGG